rnacentral:rRNA from 1 species
GCCUAGCUUGCUAGGUGGAUUAGUGGCGCACGGGUGAGUAAUAUAUAGAUAACGUGCCUCUUAGUCUGGGAUAGCCAUUGGAAACGAUGAUUAAUACUAGAUACUCCUUCUAACUCUAAUGUUAGUCGGGAAAGUUUUUCGCUAAGAGAUCGGUCUAUAUCCCAUCAGCUAGUUGGUAGUGUAAGAGACUACCAAGGCAAUGACGGGUAGCGGGUUUGAGAGGAUGAUCCGCCACACUGGUACUGAGACACGGACCAGACUCCUACGGGAGGCAGCAGUGAGGAAUAUUGCACAAUGGAGGAAACUCUGAUGCAGCAACGCCGCGUGGAGGAUGACGCAUUUCGGUGUGUAAACUCCUUUUAUAUGUCAAGAAAAUGACGGUAGCAUAUGAAUAAGCACCGGCUAACUCCGUGCCAGCAGCCGCGGUAAUACGGAGGGUGCAAGCGUUAUUCGGAAUCACUGGGCGUAAAGGACGCGUAGGCGGGAUGCCAAGUCUGAUGU